AUGGAAAAGAACUGCUCUAAAAAAAAAAAAAAAAAAAAAUCUAAAAAAAAAAGGGAGAGAAAAAGUCAUGCUUGCAGAUCCAGUUUAGUAAGCAUGACUAACUGCUCAGCUGACCCCAUCCAAAGGGUUCUGCUCAGCCAACACAAGAGGAAGAAGUGUUCAAGUCUCCAGUCAGACAUGGAGAAUGGACUGGAACAACUCCAUGUCGACCAGAAGCACUCUUCAUUCUGCGUUUCUGAGCAGCAAGCGUUUCAUCGAUCGUCUGGAUGCAGGGGCUGUGGAGGACUGACCGGGGGGGCUCUCAGCAUCUGCAAAAGAUGAAACCAGAACAUGUCAGCAUUUGAGAUGACUGAACAUACUUUUGCUUUACAUGCUCAUAAAGAAACAGAGUGAAGCAUCAUUUGUGGUCAAUUUAAAGUAAAAGUCAGAUCGCGUUUUUUUUCUGGAGUUAACCCCUUUUUUAAUGCCGGGAUUAUAUAAAAGAUUUAUGUUAAUUGAAAAAAAAAACAGUUUAAAAAGCAGUUUGGAAAAAUUGAAAUGAGUAAGUGGAAUUCUUCUUGAGAACAGUCACCUCUGUGUUUUUGAUAUUUGAAUAAAGAGAUUCUUAUCUGCCACAAGGCUGCAUUUUCUGACUUCACAGAAGUAAGUGAAAACAAAAAAACCCUAUUUUUUCAAAAACCAAACACCCAUCUUUCCUGAAUUUUGACAUUCAGUACCACAGUGUUUAUGUUACUUAUUGUCCACUUUUCGGCAGCAGGAUUUGCACUCACAUCUCUACUAAACCGCACCAGAGUUCACUUGCAAGUAAAUCAAAACCCCCAUUUUUAUAAAAAAUAGUUUUUACUAUUGCUAUGCGUAGAAAAACAAUAAUUUUGUUGUGUUCUGAGAGUACAGUAAUCCCCCGCCCAUUCGCGGUUUAAUAUUCGCGCCCCGCCCAUUAGCGGGUGGCCGCAGAUGACGUGACGUCACAAGCAUGAGGCGCAGAACAGCGCUCAUUCUGCGAAUUUUGAGAAACGAUUUACUCUAUACUUUACUGUAAAGUAUUGUUUACGCGUUUAAGAUGAC
rnacentral:lncRNA from 1 species